AGUUCUGGGCAAACACCCGAGAAUGCUGAGUUCAGUUCUGAAAUGAGGACAGAUUCAGCUGGCUGCACAAAAGAGGAGGACAAAGCUGUGUUUGAGGAUAUCCAGGAAGUCAAUCAGUCAUACCAGUGUGUGCAGCCGGUAGAGGAAAGGCCAUGGAGGAAAUCUGGGGCUGAUAUCUCAGAUUACUUUAACUAUGGUUUCGAUGAGGAAAGCUGGAAGGCGUACUGUAGGAAGCAUGCCAGACUUCAAACCUUCCAAUCACAUAUCGCUAAAGUCACG